rnacentral:rRNA from 1 species
CGUACGCUGGCGGCACGCCUAACACAUGCAAGUCGAACGCAGUAGCAAUACUGAGUGGCAGACGGGUGAGUAUAAUGUGGGAAUCUGCCUUUUGGUUCGGAAUAACACGAGGAAACUUGUGCUAAUACCGGAUAAGCCUUCACAGGGAAAGUUUUAAUGCCAAAAGAUGAGCCCGCACUUGAUUAGCUAGUUGGUAAGGUAAUGGCUUACCAAGGCAACGAUCAAUAGCUGUUCUUAGAGGAAGAUCAGCCACAUUGGGACUGAGACGCGGCCCAAACUCCUACGGGAGGCAGCAGUGGGGAAUCUUGCACAAUGGGGGCAACCCUGAUGCAGCGAUGCCGCGUGAGUGAAGAAGGCCUUUGGGUUGUAAAACUCUUUCGUCGGGGAAGAAAAUGACUGUACCCGAAUAAGAAGGUCCGGCUAACUUCGUGCCAGCAGCCGCGGUAAUACGAAGGGACCUAGCGUAGUUCGGAAUUACUGGGCUUAAAGAGUUCGUAGGUGGUUAAAAAAGUUGAUGGUGAAAUCCCAAGGCUCAACCUUGGAACUGCCAUCAAAACUUUUUAGCUAGAGUAUGAUAGAGGAAAGUGGAAUUUCUAGUGUAGAGGUGAAAUUCGUAGAU